AAUAACCUUAUUUUUCGUUUUUUCGUGUCCAACGUUUGACCAUUCAUUUUAUUUAAAUUUUUUUUGCGAUUAAUAUUUUUAUUGUUACUAGAUGAUAAAAUAUGAAUAGUAAUUUAUACGUGACUAUUUUUUUAAUGUUUUUUACAAAUUUUUUAAAUAAGAUGAAUCGUCAAACGUUGGAAAAAAAAAG
rfam:Oryza brachyantha chromosome 1, whole genome shotgun sequence.